rnacentral:rRNA from 1 species
GACGAACGCUGGCGGCGUGCUUAACACAUGCAAGUCGAACGGAAAGGCCCUGCUUUUGUGGGGUGCUCGAGUGGCGAACGGGUGAGUAACACGUGAGUAACCUGCCCUUGACUUUGGGAUAACUUCAGGAAACUGGGGCUAAUACCGGAUAGGAGCUCCUGCUGCAUGGUGGGGGUUGGAAAGUUUCGGCGGUUGGGGAUGGACUCGCGGCUUAUCAGCUUGUUGGUGGGGUAGUGGCUUACCAAGGCUUUGACGGGUAGCCGGCCUGAGAGGGUGACCGGCCACGUUGCGACUGGGAUACGGCCCAGACUCCUACGGGAGGCAGCGGUGGGGAAUAUUGCACAGUGGGCGGAAGCCUGAUGCAGCAACGCCGCGUGCGGUAUGACGGCCUUCGGGUUGUAUACCGCUUUCGCCUGUGACGAAGCGUGAGUGACGGUAAUGGGUGAAGAAGCACCGGCUAACUACGUG